AGGGAUGUAGCUCAGCGGUAGAAUGCUUGCCUGGCAUGCAUGAGAACAUGGGUUUGAACCUCAGCAUCACAA
rnacentral:tRNA from 1 species